rnacentral:rRNA from 1 species
CUGGCGGUGUACAUAAGACAUGCAAGUCGAACGGGAGAAGACUGGAAGAUUUAUCUACUAGUUGGACACCGUGGCGGACGGGUGAGUAACACGUAAGCAACCUGCCUAUAAGAGGGGAAUAACAGUGAGAAAUUACUGAUAAUACCGCAUAAGCUGGAGGUAUCGCAUGAUACAUUCAGAAAAGAUUUAUCGCUUAUAGAUGGGCUUGCGUCUGAUUAGCUAGUUGGUGAGAUAACAGCUCACCAAGGCGACGAUCAGUAGCCGGAUUGAGAGGUUGAACGGCCACAUUGGGACUGAGACACGGCCCAGACUCCUACGGGAGGCAGCAGUCGGGAAUAUUGCACAAUGGAGGAAACUCUGAUGCAGUGAACCACCGCGUAUAGGAAGAAGGUCUUAGGAUUGUAAGCUAUUGUCGUGUGAGAAGAAAAUGACCAUCACAGGAGGAAGCCCUGGCUAAAUAUGUGCCAGCCGCUGC